ensembl:lncRNA
UUUCUUAUCACCCGAAGGCACAGGGAACUCCCAGUCCCUGACAUACGGUGCAGCAGCCAUGGAGAUCCGGGGUGCUGCCGCCAACUGCCCAACAACCUGUCUCCCUGCCACGCUUGCUCCUGCUCCAGGGGGGCAAAGGCCAACUGCUGUCAAGGUCCCUAGAAGGUCCCGCCCACAUCUGACCUGAUGCCUCUUGAGCCCUGUCGCUUUGAGAGAUGCUGGCCUUUGGGGUAUGGGGUUUGCAACCUGUAACCCCUUCUUCAUCUUCCUUCUCUCAUUCCUGGAGGGGACCUCCCUCAGGGGGAACUCCAGCCUUGCUGCUUGAAAUGUUAAAGAAGAGGAGGUAAAGGGAUUUUGAAAAACCCUUUUCUCUCUUGACAAAGCCUUUGCAUGGGUUUGAUAAUCUUAUUAUGGAUGUUAAAGGGUGAGCUUGAAUCUUCCUUUUCCUUGACAUCCUUACUUGAACAUCCUACCGUUCUCUGCGAUACUUCCCAGCUCAACGAAGAUGCAGGUCUUUUGGAGACAAAGGCCAAAAGGAAAAGCAGAGCGAUAGAUUUCAAGACACUACGCCUCUCAUGUAAUUGAACUUUAAUAACCUGAAGCAGUUCCCCUAAGUUUCCUGGGGCGAAGUGGCCUGUGCCCAAGAGCAGUCUCCAGGGCCGAGGGGAGUGACGGUGACUGCUCUCCUCUGCCCGGUGCUGGGUGGGCGCCAGGCCCAGCCCUUUCCCUGAUGGUUUGGUUGAGGACAUUUUUGGAAGCUCUCCAGAGAAAAUUGUCAAGGCUAAUCUGAAACAGGUUGUCACUGGCAGGCAGCAAAGCAGGAGGUGUGGAAACGGGCGGCCGUACUGUCAGAUGCGGGAUUAUGGAAGUUCGAGGGAGCCGUGGUUACGAACACCGCCUGUAAGAUUUACCUUCGUGGACUCCCCGGAUAUCUCAAGGAAGCUGGUGGGACCAUUCCACGCAUUUUCUCUUUGAACCGAGAAGUUAUAUUUAGUCCAAAUGAGAUGGCACAGUUGCUGGAGGCAGAGUGGGGCUGGAUGAGUGAGUGGGGAUAUUCUGAAGAUCAUUCUGUAAAGCUGGCCUUAAACCUGAAGUUACCCCUGCUGACCCCUGGCGCUUACUUGGGAACAUUUGAAGGACGCUCCAUUCAGGGCCUGAACCCAGGCAUGAGAACAGAGGAAAAGAGAAAAUAAACCCCAACUUUAUCACUUCAGACUUGGAACUCAGAAAAACUUUGACUCCAGUUUGGGAUGAAGUCAGAAUGGAUUCUUUUGCUCAUAUCUGCACAACCUUCUUUCAAAGAAGAGGGGGGGGGGGAAAAAGUCCAUUUGUAUCUUUUUUUUCAGAUUCUGCAAAUAAACGUUAUCAUGUGCUAUCUGUCUCUCUCUGUCUGACUUACUUCACUUAUGAUAAUCUCCAGGUUCAUUCCUGUUGCAGCAAAUGGUGGU